UUAUGAAGAGUUGAAGGUGAUUGUUAAAGUUCUGAUGGAAUUUAACGGGAGAGUGAUGUAAUGGAAUGUAUUUGCAAAGAUCAUUGUAGCAGCAGAAUUCUGAUAAGAUGGAGGAAAGAAAAGCCAGAGUGAAGCAGACCAUUAGCAGAUAAUUGUCAUAAUCUUGAUACUAAAUGGAGACCAGAAUUAAGGUUUAGGAAGCUUCAGCCUGUAAAUGGCAGUUGAAGCCAUACUUAUUGCUGAAAUUGCAUACAGUCAGAACACUGAAUACAGAAACUUGAAGAACAACAUCAUUUCAGUCAGGAGUACCAAAAAGAGCUUUUAAGAAAACGGAAGCAGAAAAUGGCAUAGAAGAAGCUGAACCUAAAAUAUUCAGUGAGUAAUAGUCUCCUGUGCUUUGAAGGGCACCAGCAGUGUAAGGAAGGCUAUUUGUAAGGGAUUUGGCAUUGUGCCUGUCAGUGACUUCAGUGAGUGACAGCAGGGUCAGUGGAGUGACAGGUAGUGAGGGCUUGUAGAUAAACCAGGUGAAGUCAGAAGGCAAAGGAUCCUUUGAUGUAGUCCAUUCAGAGCAGAAGGAGAAGAAUGCAGAGUGGAUCUGCAGGGACAAAUAGAAGAUGCAGCGCAAUGGAGAUACUGUUUAAUGCCGCAGGGGACCUGGGCUCUUUUCGUCUCUCCUAUGUAAAGAGAAUUUCCUCCAUCCAAGUAAAACUGAUGCGAUCGGUCAGCUUUCUAGACAACAGAAAUAAAUAAUUCUCUCUGUGAGGCUUUCAAAGAAUUGAAUGAAGCCCAUCCACACUGGGAAGGCAAUCUGCUUUGUUCAGUCUACUGAUUCAACUGUCAAUCUCAUCCAGAAACACCUUCCCAGAUGCACCAAGAAUGUUUAAGCAAAUAUCUGGGCACCUCGUGGUCCAGUCAAUUUGACAUAUAAAAUU
rnacentral:lncRNA from 1 species